GACGAACGCUGGCGGCGUGCUUAACACAUGCAAGUCGAACGAGACGAUUGAAAGCUUGCUUUUGAAAGUCGAGUGGCAAACGGGUGAGUAACGCGUAGACAACCUGCCUUUGAGAUGGGGACAACAGUUCGAAAGGACUGCUAAUACCGAAUGUUGUAUAUUUCCCACAUGGAAGAUAUAUUAAAGAUGGCCUCUAUUUAUAAGUUAUCGCUCAAAGAUGGGUCUGCGUCUGAUUAGCUGGUUGGUGGGGUAACGGCCUACCAAGGCGACGAUCAGUAGCCGGUCUGAGAGGAUGAACGGCCACAUUGGGACUGAGACACGGCCCAGACUCCUACGGGAGGCAGCAGUGGGGAAUCUUCCACAAUGGACGAAAGUCUGAUGGAGCAACGCCGCGUGAGUGAAGAAGGGUUUCGGCUCGUAAAGCUCUGUUGUCGGGGACGAAUGUGCAGUAUUUGAAUAAAGUACUGUAAUGACGGUACCUGACGAGGAAGCCACGGCUAACUACGUGCCAGCCGCCGCCGCGG
rnacentral:rRNA from 1 species